rnacentral:rRNA from 1 species
UACGUAGGGUGCAAGCGUUAAUCGGAAUUACUGGGCGUAAAGCGUGCGCAGGCGGUUUUGUAAGUCUGUCGUGAAAUCCCCGGGCUUAACCUGGGAAUUGCGAUGGAGACUGCAAGGCUAGAAUCUGGCAGAGGGGGGUAGAAUUCCACGUGUAGCAGUGAAAUGCGUAGAGAUGUGGAGGAACACCGAUGGCGAAGGCAGCCCCCUGGGUCAACACUGACGCUCAUGCACGAAAGCGUGGGGAGCAAAAGGG